GCUCCGGUGGCCUAAUGGUUAGAGCGUGAGCCUCUGAUGCGGGAGGUCGUGGGAUCGAUCCCCAGCUGAGCU